UACGUAGGCAGCAAGCGUUGUUCGGAAUUACUGGGCGUAAAGAGUGUGUAGGCGGUGCUCUAAGUUCGGUGUGAAAUCUCCCGGCUCAACUGGGAGGGUGCGCCGGAAACUGGAAUGCUUGAGCGUGGGAGAGGAAAGCGGAAUUCCUGGUGUAGCGGUGAAAUGCGUAGAUAUCAGGAGGAACACCGGUGGCGAAGGCGGAUCUCUGGGCCUUGCCUGACGCUGAGGCGCGAAAGCUAGGGGAGCGAACAGG
rnacentral:rRNA from 1 species